rnacentral:lncRNA from 1 species
UUGUUGAUGGUAAUUGUCCUCGACUAGAAAAUAAUGUGAUAGAGCAAAAAUUAUGGGAUAGGUGCAACAAUAUGGUGAUUUCCUGGCUGACUGUCUCUUUAUCUCCUCAGAUAGCUGAAAGUAUGCAGUAUUAUGAAACUGCACAUAUAUGGGCACAACUGCAAGCCAGAUAUGGCAGUGCUAAUAGGACUAAAGUUUUUGAACUUAAAAGGGAACUUAUUCAUACUUCUCAAGGUCCUCUAGACAUAGCAUCAUAUUUUAACAAACUCAAAGGGUUAUGGGAUGAAUUGGGAGUAGUGUGUACAAAUCUUGGGCAAAGGUGCAUUUGUGAUGCCAAAAAUGGGAUCAUACAAGAAGAUGAGGAAAAUAAGGUGUUCCAAUUUCUCAUGGGACUUAAUGAGACAUAUAUGGGGGUAAGGAGCAACUUGUUGAUGAUACAACCUCCCCCUAGUCUUGACAGUGUAUAACAUCCUCCUCAAUGAUGAGAAACAAUGACAAGUCCAAUCCAACUCUCAUAUCAAUCCCGAUUCCAUGUCUUUCAGUGUUAAACAAUGACAAGUCCAAUCCAACUCUCAAUUCAAUCCCGAUUCCAUGUCUUUCAGUGUUAAUGCAAACAAAUAUCCUACAUCUUCUCUUGGAAUGAAUCAAGCUGCAGUACCUAAUCCUUCUUCUCUCAGACAACAUACACAAAGAGUCAGUUUUGAUCAGUCAAAGGGGACUUUAUUCUGUAGAUAUUGCAAGAAGUCUGGGCCCUUAAUUGAUAAGUGUUACAAGCUUCAUGGGUAUCCACAAAACCUCAAUUUUAACAAAGUAAGGAAAACUGUUGCUGCUCAUGUAACUACUGGUGCUCACUUCAAUCUUUCUGAAGGGCACACAUCAGAUCUUACUGGUAAUUCCAGUGAGGGUCACAAAUCUGUUCCAAAUGUGGCUGAACAAAGUUCUGUGGUUCCAGGUUUGAGCAUAUAACAAUAUGAUCA